CAGCUGAAGGCUAAUCUGCCCAG
rnacentral:piRNA from 1 species